rnacentral:snRNA from 1 species
AUGAGUAUCAUAGGGGAACU